GCUUGAGUGUGCGGGCAUACUUGACCAAUAAAACUGAUUCUGAAUCUGAUUCAGAAAAAUGGCAGUGAUCCGUACGGAAGCCGAAGGAAUCGACUCUUAUUGAAGAGCUGAGUCAAAGGAUUCGGUUCACUUAAAAGAGCCAGUGCUUUCCGUCACUGAAGGAAGUGAAGUGCGCGGUGAAAAAGCAUCAUAAUGGACGCUACAGUGGCAUGUAAUAAUUGUGGCUUACCGUACACGUUGUCUGAGGGUGAGGUUGUGGGGAGGCUGCCCCAUGUGCUCUUCUGUGUGGAGUGUCUCUGCUCUCUGGAGUGUCCUCAGGACUCCAACUCUGUCCCCUCAGUCAGCUGUCCCGAGUGUAGGCCAUGCUGAGGGAGGUGUUGACUAAAUUAGAGAUGGUGCUGGACCAACAAACCACUGAGAUUGCUUCAACUACAGGAGGUCCAGCUGCAGCCUUUGGAUGUUGAAGAUUUACUGCCCUGCAAGACCUUCCUCAACUGCGUAGUCUGGAGCGAAGGAUGCAACAGAGCCCAGAUUACAAGCAAGAUCUGUUCAUAGAAACCUCUUUACGCCUAAAGCUACAGCGAUGGAGGUCGAGGGGACCAUGAAGAGGUGGCUCCAGCUGGCAUCAGAUCAAGAGUGUGGGUGCAAGAGAAGUCUUUUGCAAAAAGAAGCUACCAGGAAUCCUGAAGAAGGACUAGCGCAUUGGAGCGGUCGUGCUGCACGUGGGGGCAAACAUCAGGCUGUGGCAGGCGGAGGUUCUGAAGAGGGACUUCUCCAGCCUGAUCGAGAUGGUACGAGGCAGAUCACCCACCGCGAAGAUCAUCGUCUCUGGACCUCUUCCCUCAUACAGAGGUGGAGCUGAAAGGCUCAGUAGACUUCUUGCUUUGAAUGACUGGUUAGUUUCUUGGUGUAAUGAACAGAAUCUGCUGUUUGUUAAUAACUGGAAUCUGUUCUGGGAUCGGAACUGCUGUCAGACAACAUCUCCAAGACGCUACAGACCAAGUGACUGUCUACCGUCAAAUUAUUCAUAAACAUGGAAUGAAUUUCCACUGUUAUGCUGAUGAUACAGAGCUGUAUGUUUGCAACUGAACAAUAACAACAAUAAACAACAACUGAAGAAUAGCGAAAAACUUCUGUUUUCGUGCUUACUUGAAGACGAUGAGGCGGAGCAGCAUCGGAGAGACAGUUCGCUCCAUUCUCCAAAGAAUCGGGGAGAACAGUCUGUAAUGUAUGUUUUUGUUGAAAGUGUCAAAAGGUGGGAAGCUGGCUUUGACUGAUCAGGAUGAAGUGUAUCGCCUUGUACACUAUAUUGCCGAACAAGUACAUGGACGUGAAUAUACUGUUGCCGGUUGCAGAGAGGCCAUCGGCAGCUACCUAAAAAAUGCCCCAGGCAGGAAAAGUGGCAAGAAACAUAUUAUGAGUGUUUAUGAUGAAGCAGAGCUACGUGGGAUCUCCAGUGCGUCCUGCAAGAAUUGGGCCUGAGUCCAGUUCAGAUUCAAUUUUGUAAUCUCAUUCCUCUCCCUUGCGUGACAGCCUCCAAACAGUACAAUUCUAAUGAGCUUGAAUAUACGGGGAAUUCCAUUGGGUUUGAUGUCUGACUAAUUAAAGACCCACCUCUUCUAUGAACACCUAACCAACUCAUAAUAAAAAAAAAAUUAUUUAAAAAAAAAAAUGCACUUACACCUCUAGUCUGCACUUUGCUUCUUCUAGAAUUCAAUGAAUAGAUCUUGUAUGGUAGCUGCUCUUGUAUUGUUCUCUGCUUGAUAUAUCGCUUUGCUUGUAUCUUUCUUAUUUGUAAGUCGCUUUGGAUAAAAGCGUCUGCUAAGUGAAUGUAAUGUAAAUGUAAUAAAUUGUUUUCUUUGAUUAGCAAUACAUAGGUACUAUAUCUGGCUGUUUUGUGUGUUACAAUAUUGAAUGUCACUUUUCAGCUAUUCACU